UAAACACCCAUUCUGUGCGAUCACCGACGUUAAGCAACGUCGAGCCUGGUCAGUAUCUUGAUGGGUUACCGCUUGGGAAUACCGGGUGCUGUAA